AGCACCGGCUAAUUACUGCAUUUAUUAAAAUUGUAGAGGAAAGUCCGCGCUAGCACAACCUGAGAUGGUUGUAGUGUUCGUGUUAUCCCUAAUAAGGAUAAGCUUAGACGUCAGGUAAAAAACUAUUUAUAGUUAUAACCUAAAGUGCCACAGAGACGAGAAGGGGCGACCUGGAAAUGAAACGCGGUAAACACCACGAGCUAGAAACCCAAAUUAUGGUAGGGGAACCAAAAGAGAAGAAUUUAAUUCAAUUUUGGAAUCGUAAGAUUAGAUAAAUUAUUAGCGCCAGCAAUGGUACAAAACGCGGCUUAUAAGU
rnacentral:RNase_P_RNA from 1 species